UUUUCGGAGAGUUUGAUCCUGGCUCAGGACGAACGCUGGCGGCGUGCCUAAUACAUGCAAGUCGAGCGGACAGAAGGGAGCUUGCUCCCGGAUGUUAGCGGG
rnacentral:rRNA from 1 species